AACGAACGGUGGCGGCAUGCCUAACACAUGCAAGUCGAACGAUACCUUCGGGUCUAGUGGCGCACGGGUGCGUAACGCGUGGGAAUCUGCCCUUAGGUUCGGAAUAACAGUAAGAAAUGACUGCUAAUAGCGGAUGAUGACUUGGGUCCAAAGAUUUAUCGUCUAAGGAUGAGCCCGCGUAAGAGUAGCUAGUUGGUGCGGUAAAGGCUCACCAAGGCUACGAUCUUUAGGAGGUCUGAGAGGAUGAUCAGCGACACUGGGACUGAGACACGGCCGAGAGUCCUACGGGGGGCAGCAGUGGGGAAUAUUGCACAAUGGGCAAAAGCCUGAUCCAGAAAAGCCGCGUGAGUGAUGUAGGCCUUGAGGUUGUAAAGCUCUUUUACCCGGGAUGAUAAUGACAGUACCGGGAGAAUAUGCUCCGGCUAACUCCGUGCCAGCCGCCGCAGUAA
rnacentral:rRNA from 1 species